AUGUUGACUGGGUCAAGGCUACCUCAGUCUUGUGCUGAACACAUACUCAUUCCAGACCACACAUCUUCACCACUAUCUACUGAUAACACCAUUCCCACCCCCUGCCUCUCCUGACACCAACCCUCACCACUGAUACCAUUUAUUAUGAAUUCUUCAUUUUGUCAGUAGAAUAUGAUAGAGCAAUAAGUUGGAAAGAAGUAAAAUGGUCAAAUUUUCUCAACUGAUGAGAGUGAAGGAUAAAGGGAGUGAGGCAUCAGCUGCUGUGUCAGCCAUGUGACACUAGUCAGCUGAUGGUUGAGGCCAGGCCAACCCUGUGCUCCUGUGUGACAUGUUCUAAUAAAAAAAAUGCAAAUUAGAGUGCAGAUUCACCACCUCCAGCACCUGCCUCCAUGACACCAACCCUCACCACCAACACCACCUGCCUCCUCUGACACCAUUUUGUCAUCCUUCAACCCCCUUCUCCCUAGAUACAAUGGAGUUAUAAACGUAUGGAACCUCCUACCCACUGAAGCCACAAAUGCUUUUCCACCUGGAAAAGUUCAUCAAGGCAAAUGGGAGGAGGGACCUUCGGACAAACCACCAGCUUCCUGUCCUUGUCGAAGCCAAUAGUGUUAGUGGCCCUCAGGUGAAGGUAAAUCAGGUAAAUAAUUGCAGCUAAUUUUGUCAUUAUUAAGUGAUGCUCUGAGCACAAGCUGCACAAUGGUGCUGUGAGCUGCAGCAGUACAGUAUGCACUACCCAUGGUCACCAACUCAAUAAUGAGGCCCUCACUCGGCCUCUUUGUGGGCACCCAGGAGGGGUGCCUACAAUUUUUUUUCCCCAAGAUGGCAUCUGUUUACUAGAGGCCUAAUGUGAGCCCCGUGUUUGCACAGGGCAUUUAAAUCAUGUGCAGUACAGUACUCUAAAUCAUCCCUCUGACUCAUGCAGUGUGGUCAGAUAAGGCAUAAUUAUUCCUGUUUGACUGGCACUAUGGAAAGGUUAAGUGAAAUUCAUGUGUAAUUUGGAUUUUUGAGGUUGUACUGCAGAUGCAUAUAGUAGUUUAACAUUGCUCAUUGCUUAAGCAUGUCACCCCCCUCCCCUCCCCCCCCCCCCUCCCUGAAACAUUUAAAUGCAGAAGCAUAUGGCUGGACUAAAAUUGUUUACUCUGAUUACUGUCUUAAGACCCUGGAUAAAAUUUUUAAUUAACUUACAGUAGUUUCAUCCUCAUGUAAAACUUGGUCAUAUUCUGACAUGGCUACACAGAAGAUGAUGGCUGUAACAUCCUCAAAACAAUGAAUCCAUUUUUUACGUUCCGAGCGCUGUCCUCCAACAUCAAACAGUCUGUCAAUUAAAAAAUGCACAUCAAUUAAAAAAUGCCCAUCAAUUAAGUUGCUGCUUGCCACAGUUAAUACCAAAACAAUUUAUCAUGAAUUACAUAACACUUCUAUUAUGGUAACACCUUAAUUUGAAGUAUUAAAUUUAAUUUAAAAAACUCACCUUACCAGGAGUAUUUUAAAAAUGAAGGUUAGAAAUAAAAUUCAAGACAUCCAAAUAAAAUGUACAUUUAUUCAGCAAUGUUCAGUCAUAAAUAAAAAUAGUUUUCCUUGCGUGGCACUUGCCCCGGGAUAGCAACACAUCCACAGUUACUUGCCAACAGACACCUCUUAGAGUAGACAAUUAUGAAUAUCUACUCCUUUUCUUAAAAUGUAAAUGGCAUUAAUAUAAUUAAUAUUAAAUUACUAACUAGAGAAGCAAAUACACUGUACAAAAGUGAGCAGUUAAUCUUACACCAUACAUGAGAGGAUGGGUCUUUUAAUACCAUAUACAAUAUCAAUAAUAUUCAGACAAUAUUACACA